AAGCCAGUUUGUGGCAGAUGAUCCAAACUCUCUAAUACAAAUUGAACUAACUAUAGCAACAAAGUCUAGCCUAUUUUGAUAUGCUCUCCUCUUUUAGACAAGCCAUUAUAUAGACUUAAUGUUU